rnacentral:rRNA from 1 species
AGCGAACGCUGGCGGCAGGCCUAACACAUGCAAGUCGAACGGAUCCUUCGGGAUUAGUGGCGGACGGAUGAGUAACACGUGGGAACGUGCCCUUUGGUUCGGAACAACUCAGGGAAACUUGAGCUAAUACCGGAUGUGCCCUUCGGGGGAAAGAUUUAUCGCCAUUGGAGCGGCCCGCGUCUGAUUAGCUAGUUGGUGAGGUAACGGCCCACCAAGGCGACGAUCAGUAGCUGGUCUGAGAGGAUGAUCAGCCACACUGGGACUGAGACACGGCCCAGACUCCUACGGGAGGCAGCAGUGGGGAAUCUUGCGCAAUGGGCGAAAGCCUGACGCAGCCAUGCCGCGUGAAUGAUGAAGGUCUUAGGAUUGUAAAAUUCUUUCAGCGGGGACGAUAAUGACGGUACCCGCAGAAGAAGCUCCGGCUAACUUCGUG